rnacentral:rRNA from 1 species
AAGUCGUAACAAGGUUUCCGUAGGUGAACCUGCGGAAGGAUCAUUACCGAGUGAGGGCCCUCUGGGUCCAACCUCCCACCCGUGUUUAUUUUACCUUGUUGCUUCGGCGGGCCCGCCUUAACUGGCCGCCGGGGGGCUUACGCCCCCGGGCCCGCGCCCGCCGAAGACACCCUCGAACUCUGUCUGAAGAUUGAAGUCUGAGUGAAAGUAUAAAUUAUUUAAAACUUUCAACAACGGAUCUCUUGGUUCCGGCAUCGAUGAAGAACGCAGCGAAAUGCGAUACGUAAUGUGAGUUGCAAAUUCAGUGAAUCAUCGAGUCUUUGAACGCACAUUGCGCCCCCUGGUAUUCCGGGGGGCAUGCCUGUCCGAGCGUCAUUGCUGCCUCAAGCCCGGCUUGUGUGUUGGGCCCCGUCCCCCGAUCUCCGGGGGACGGGCCGAAAGGCAGCGGCGGCACCGCGUCCGGUCCUCGAGCGUAUGGGGCUUUGUCACCCGCUCUGUAGGCCCGGCCGGCGCUUGCCGAUCAACCCAAAUUUUUAUCCAGGUUGACCUCGGAUCAGGUAGGGAUACCCGCUGAACUUAA